rnacentral:tRNA from 1 species
AGCGUUGUGCCAGAAAAAUUGGGUUGUCUUGAUGUGAUAGUUAUGUGGUUUUAGUGUCACCGGCGCUC